AUCCUAAUAAGCUGAGCGGUAAAGCGAUUGGCUUCUGAACAAAGAUUCCCGGUUCGAAUCCUGGUGAAGACU
rnacentral:tRNA from 1 species